UGCUAACUAGAUAGCGGCGAACGGGUGAGUAAUGCCUAGGAAUCUGCCUGAUAGUGGGGGACAACGUGUGGAAACGCACGCUAAUACCGCAUACGUCCUACGGGAGAAAGGGGGCUUUUCGGAGCUCUCGCUAACAGAUGAGCCUAGGUCAGAUUAGCUAGUUGGUAGGGUAAAGGCCUACCAAGGCGACGAUCUGUAGCGGGUCUGAGAGGAUGAUCCGCCACACUGGAACUGAGACACGGUCCAGACUUCUACGGGAGGCAGCAGUGGGGAAUAUUGGACAAUGGGCGAAAGCCUGAUCCAGCCAUGCCGCGUGUGUGAAGAAGGCCUUUUGGUUGUAAAGCACUUUAAGCGGGGAGGAGGGCUCUGUGGUUAAUACCCAUGGAAGUCGGACGUUACCCGCAGAAUAAGCACCGGCUAACUCUGUGCCAGCAGCCGCGGUAAUACAGAGGGUGCGAGCGUUAAUCGGAAUUACUGGGCGUAAAGCGCGCGUAGGCGGCUUGUUAAGUCGGAUGUGAAAUCCCUGGGCUCAACCUAGGCAUUGCAUACGAU
rnacentral:rRNA from 1 species